rnacentral:rRNA from 1 species
CCUACGGGUGGCUGCAGUAGGGAAUAUUGGGCAAUGGAGGCAACUCUGACCCAGCCAUGCCGCGUGCAGGAUGACGGCCCUCUGGGUUGUAAACUGCUUUUAUACGGGAAGAAAAAAUACUACGUGUAGUAUACUGACGGUACCGUAAGAAUAAGGAUCGGCUAACUCCGUGCCAGCAGCCGCGGUAAUACGGAGGAUCCAAGCGUUGUCCGGAUUUAUUGGGUUUAAAGGGUGCGUUGGCGUCAGUGUUGAAAGCCUGCAGCUUAACUGUAGAAUUGCCAUUGAAACUGAAAAUCUUGAAUUUGGUUAAAGUAGGCGGAAUGUAUCAUGUAGCGGUGAAAUGCUUAGAUAUGAUACAGAACACCGAUAGCGAAGGCAGCUUGCUGAACCAAUAUUGACGCUGAGGCACGAAAGCGUGGGGAGCGAACAGGAUUAGAUACCCCGGUAGUC